rnacentral:rRNA from 1 species
UGUUGGGUAGGGGAGCGUUCUGUAAGCCUGCGAAGGUGUGCUGUGAGGCAUGCUGGAGGUAUCAGAAGUGCGAAUGCUGACAUAAGUAACGAUAAAGCGGGUGAAAAGCCCGCUCGCCGGAAGACCAAGGGUUCCUGUCCAACGUUAAUCGGGGCAGGGUGAGUCGACCCCUAAGGCGAGGCCGAAAGGCGUAGUCGAUGGGAAACAGGUUAAUAUUCCUGUACUUGGUGUUACUGCGAAGGGGGGACGGAGAAGGCUAUGUUGGCCGGGCGACGGUUGUCCCGGUUUAAGCGUGUAGGCUGGUUUUCCAGGCAAAUCCGGAAAAUCAAGGCUGAGGCGUGAUGACGAGGCACUACGGUGCUGAAGCAACAAAUGCCCUGCUUCCAGGAAAAGCCUCUAAGCAUCAGGUAACAUCAAAUCGUACCCCAAACCGACACAGGUGGUCAGGUAGAGAAUACCAAGGCGCUUGAGAGAACUCGGGUGAAGGAACUAGGCAAAAUGGUGCCGUAACUUCGGGAGAAGGCACGCUGAUAUGUAGGUGAAGUCCCUUGCGGAUGGAGCUGAAAUCAGUCGAAGAUACCAGCUGGCUGCAACUGUUUAUUAAAAACACAGCACUGUGCAAACACGAAAGUGGACGUAUACGGUGUGACGCCUGCCCGGUGCCGGAAGGUUAAUUGAUGGGGUCAGCGCAAGCGAAGCUCUUGAUCGAAGCCCCGGUAAACGGCGGCCGUAACUAUAACGGUCCUAAGGUAGCGAAAUUCCUUGUCGGGUAAGUUCCGACCUGCACGAAUGGCGUAAUGAUGGCCAGGCUGUCUCCACCCGAGACUCAGUGAAAUUGAACUCGCUGUGAAGAUGCAGUGUACCCGCGGCAAGACGGAAAGACCCCGUGAACCUUUACUAUAGCUUGACACUGAACAUUGAGCCUUGAUGUGUAGGAUAGGUGGGAGGCUUUGAAGUGUGGACGCCAGUCUGCAUGGAGCCGGCCUUGAAAUACCACCCUUUAAUGUUUGAUGUUCUAACGUGGACCCGUGAUCCGGGUUGCGGACAGUGUCUGGUGGGUAGUUUGACUGGGGCGGUCUCCUCCUAAAGAGUAACGGAGGAGCACGAAGGUUGGCUAAUCCUGGUCGGACAUCAGGAGGUUAGUGCAAUGGCAUAAGCCAGCUUGACUGCGAGCGUGACGGCGCGAGCAGGUGCGAAAGCAGGUCAUAGUGAUCCGGUGGUUCUGAAUGGAAGGGCCAUCGCUCAACGGAUAAAAGGUACUCCGGGGAUAACAGGCUGAUACCGCCCAAGAGUUCAUAUCGACGGCGGUGUUUGGCACCUCGAUGUCGGCUCAUCACAUCCUGGGGCUGAAGUAGGUCCCAAGGGUAUGGCUGUUCGCCAUUUAAAGUGGUACGCGAGCUGGGUUUAGAACGUCGUGAGACAGUUCGGUCCCUAUCUGCCGUGGGCGCUGGAGAACUGAGGGGGGCUGCUCCUAGUACGAGAGGACCGGAGUGGACGCAUCACUGGUGUUCGGGUUGUCAUGCCAAUGGCACUGCCCGGUAGCUAAAUGCGGAAGAGAUAAGUGCUGAAAGCAUCUAAGCACGAAACUUGCCCCGAGAUGAGUUCUCCCUGACCCUUUAAGGGUCCUGAAGGAACGUUGAAGACGACGACGUUGAUAGGCCGGGUGUGUAAGCGCAGCGAUGCGUUGAGCUAACCGGUACUAAUGAACCGUGAGGCUUAACCUUACAACGCCGAA